CGUGGGAGUUCUCAGAGAAGAUGUCUGCCUGAUAUGAGUGCUUCCGAGGCCCCUUUGUGGCUCAAAGACUCUCAAACAUUGAGGCCAGUGAGCUCGUUCUCCAGGCUGUGGCCUGAGCCUGGCCUCUCCACAGGGGUUGGCCCUGGGAAGAACCAGAAAUGCCUAGCUGCAGGGAUUCAGCAUGAAGCUGGCCAGCUUGCAGGGCUUGGACCCAGAAAUGAGCCCAGGUCCCCAGAUGCCCUACCUUGGGCCAACGAGCCCUGCUGCUAUCUUGCUCCAACCAGCCAGAGGCUCAGAGGCAAAACGCCCCACCUCCAACACUGAAGAUCACUUUUCCACAUGUGGUUUGGAAGGAACGAACAUCCAAAUUUGAUCGCUCUGUCUCCACCAUUUUCGUCAUAGCCAAGCCACCAACCUCAGGACACCCAGACCCUGGAGCCAGCCCUACACUUACUCCCUGUGUGCCGUUGGGCAAGUAACUCUCAGGGCCAUAUCCCCUCAUAUAUAAGCCAAAAAAGAGUAACAAUAGCUCCCUUAUGAGAUUGUUGUGAAAACGUAAGCGUGGUUGGACAUAGGAACCGGUAUAACGAGUCUUAUCACUAUCCAACUCGGUGCUGUGCAACAGAAACAUAAUUUGUGAUGGGAACUACACAUGAAGUUUUCAAUGCUCCAGUAGCCACAUUAUUUAAAACAAAAAAAAAGUGGAAUUAAUUUUAAUGAUAUAUUUUAUUUAACCCAACAUAUACAAAAUUUUAUUUAAAAAAUAUAAUCCAUAUAACAAUGCAAGUGAGAUAUUUUUAUUGUGCCGAGUCUGAAAUCUGGUAUUUUAUACUCACAGCACCUGGGACUAGCCACAUUUCAGGUAUUCAAAAGCCACAUGUGGCCAGCGGAUACUGCAUUCAGCACAGGUCUGAGUAUUUGCGAUGCUUCCCUUCUUCCUGUACAGCAGUUUCUCAACCUCUGCACCACUGACAUUUUGGGCAAGCAGUGGAGACAAAAUCUGAACCCAGAGUAUAUAUAGAAAGAGCCACAGGCUGGAGUACAGUUGAAAUGCUUGAAACAACCAGCUCCCAAGUGAACUAAGAGCAAGAACUCACUCAUUACGGUGGGAAGGCCACGGAGCAUUCAUGUGGGAUCUGCCCCCAUGACCCAAACAUCUCCCACCAGGCCCCACCCCCCACACUGGGGAUCACAUUUCAACUGGAGAUUUGGAGGGAAUGAACCCUGGGUUCAGUGACCCAGGGUUUUUCUAAAGAGCAGGACCCAGGGGAAACGAGCAUCCAGAGCAGAGUUUCUCAGCCUCAGCAUUAUUGACAUGUGAGAC
rnacentral:lncRNA from 13 species